rnacentral:piRNA from 1 species
UCAAACACGCUGAUUUCGUGG